rnacentral:rRNA from 1 species
GGGUCCUACGGGGGCAGCAGUGAGGAAUAUUGGUCAAUGGCCGAGAGGCUGAACCAGCCAAAUCGCGUGAGGGAUGACGGCCCUACGGGUUGUAAACCUCUUUUGUCGGGGAGCAAGACCCGCCACGAGUGGCGGAGCGGGAGUACCCGAAGAAAAAGCAUCGGCUAACUCCGUGCCAGCAGCCGCGGUAAUACGGAGGAUGCGAGCGUUAUCCGGAUUUAUUGGGUUUAAAGGGUUCGCAGGCGUACCAUCAAGUCAGCGGUAAAAUCGUGGGGCCCAACCCCAUCCCGCCGUUGAAACUGGCG